rnacentral:rRNA from 1 species
AGUGAACGCUGGCGGUAGGCCUAACACAUGCAAGUCGAACGGCAGCACAGUAAGAGCUUGCUCUUACGGGUGGCGAGUGGCGGACGGGUGAGGAAUACAUCGGAAUCUACUUUUUCGUGGGGGAUAACGUAGGGAAACUUACGCUAAUACCGCAUACGACCUACGGGCGAAAGCAGGGGAUCUUCGGACCUUGCGCGAUUGAAUGCGCCGAUGUCGGAUUAGCUAGUUGGCGGGGUAAAGGCCCACCAAGGCGACGAUCCGUAGCUGGUCUGAGAGGAUGAUCAGCCACACUGGAACUGAGACACGGUCCAGACUCCUACGGGAGGCAGCAGUGGGGAAUAUUGGACAAUGGGCGCAAGCCUGAUCCAGCCAUACCGCGUGGGUGAAGAAGGCCUUCGGGUUGUAAAGCCCUUUUGUUGGGAAAGAAAAGCAGCAGGUUAAUACCCCGCUGUUCUGACGGUACCCAAAGAAUAAGCACCGGCUAACUUCGUG